rnacentral:rRNA from 1 species
GUGGGGAAUUUUGGACAAUGGGCGCAAGCCUGAUCCAGCAAUGCCGCGUGUGUGAAGAAGGCCUUCGGGUUGUAAAGCACUUUUGUCCGGGAAGAAAUCUCCUGAGUUAAUACCCCGGGGGGAUGACGGUACCGGAAGAAUAAGCACCGGCUAACUACGUGCCAGCAGCCGCGGUAAUACGUAGGGUGCGAGCGUUAAUCGGAAUUACUGGGCGUAAAGCGUGCGCAGGCGGCUAUGCAAGACAGGUGUGAAAUCCCCGGGCUCAACCUGGGAACUGCACUUGUGACUGCAUGGCUAGAGUGCGUCAGAGGGAGGUGGAAUUCCGCGUGUAGCAGUGAAAUGCGUAGAGAUGCGGAGGAACACCGAUGGCGAAGGCAGCCUCCUGGGAUGACACUGACGCUCAUGCACGAAAGCGUGGGGAGCAAACAGG